rnacentral:lncRNA from 1 species
ACCAGUUGAGGCCCUGAGAUCAUCUGUACUGGUGGGGGCUGUCAUUCAUUCCACGGACUUCCUCCUAGUUUCUCUAGGUAACAGAGGUACACAGAAACCAUAGAGCCUAGGUAGGGAGUUGAUGUUACUGCAAAAGAAGGACUCUGGAAGCCAUGAAAGAAUGCCCCUCAGAUUUCCUGUAUUAGAGUUCUCUAGAGAAACAAAACCAAUAGAAUAUUUAUUAUAAGGAAUAAAUUUGGCCAUAAAUGUGGCUCAUACUAUUAUGGAGGCUAACAAGUCCCAAGAUCUGGAAGGUGAGUGUGCAACCUGGAGACCUAGGUUGUCUCUUGAUAUGUUACAAUAUUGCCAUUAGAAGUUUAGUGAGGUAAAGGGAUUUCAGUUUUCACUUAGUAAGUAUUUUCUCUACCACAAGCUUUCCUAAGUAUUAUUGGUCAAUUGCCUGUUAGUCCUCAAAUCUAUUUAUUCAGUCUUCCCCUGCUCUGCUUCAUUGGGAACUACAUUUCCCUUGCACCCUCACUCUGGUUUCCAGGAAGCAUGAGUGGAAGAUCAGCGUAUACGAAGAAAUGUGGUAUUUCUCACCUUUUGUCCCACUUCCUUGUUUCUGGUGGGGUCUCUGGCAGCAGCUGCAUCAUCUUUGUCUUCUGUUUUUGGCACUCCGGUAACACCACCUCUUGCUACCCCUUCCAUCUGAGGGCUGGUAUCACUUCCUGCUCUUGCUAAUCUUUGGAUUGCCUCACACUCCCUUUUGGUUUCUUAAUCUUAGUUCCAUCACUGAUGAAACCAGUCUACCUGAAAGAUCCAGAGUUACCUUCCUAAUUACACUCUGAUUGAUACACAUACUGACAACCUUGAAGAUUACUAGAAAUUCUUGGUCUCAAAAAAAAUAAAUAAAUAAAACUACUACCUUGAUUGUACCAUUACAUGAAUGAUCGAGAAUCCAUUUUCCAAUUCUAUUGAAGUCCCAUAGUGUUCAUGAUUUGUGGUAGAAAAAUUGAAACUGACCAGUAUUCUGUAAAUUGAAGCUUUUCUCAAGAGCAAACCAAAGUCUGACAAGAUAUAAAUAUUGUACUUGAUAAUAGAAUAGAGGCACCUGGGUGGCUCAGUCGGUUAAGCAUCUGCCUUUGACUCAGGUCAUGAUCCCAGACUCCUAGGAUGGAGGCCCACUUUGGGCUCC